AGGCUGUGCUGGGAAGGCCUCUCUGGGGUGAUAUUCAGCUCAGAUCUGAAGAGAAAUGAGCGGAAACCGCCUAUGCAGAGGCAGGAAAGAGCUUCACGUGCCCUAGGAGUGGUUUGAAAGACCAAUAAGUUGGGGUUGGGGGGGGGCGAGUGUUAUGAGAUGAAGUUGGAGAUGUAGGCAGUGGCCAGAUCACACAGGGCUUGGAGUUCGAGACCAGCCUGGCAGACAUGGUGAAACCUUGUCUCUACUAAAAAUACAAAAAUUAGCCAGGCAUGGUGGCACAUGCUUGUAAUUCCGGCUACUCGGGAGGCUGAGGCAGGAGAAUCGCCUGAACCUGGGAGGCGGAGGUUGCAGUGAGCCGAGAUCGUGGCACUGCACUCCAGCCUGGGCAACAGAGUGAGACCCUGUAUCAAAAAAAAAAAAAAAAGAAAGAAAGAAAAAACAAACAUAAAAACGAAUUUGAGGCCAGGUGCAGUGGCUCACGCCUGUAAUCCCAGCACUUUGGAAGG
rnacentral:lncRNA from 1 species